rnacentral:rRNA from 1 species
AACGAACGCUGGCGGCGUGCUUAACACAUGCAAGUCGAACGCGAAAGGGACUUCGGUCCUGAGUAAAGUGGCGCACGGGUGAGUAACGCGUAGAUAACCUGUCUUCGAGUCUGGAAUAAUACACCGAAAGGGGUACUAAUACCGGAUAUUCUUGCAUUUCAUAAGGAGUGUAAGCAAAGGUGGCCUCUGUAUAUGCUACUGCUUGAAGAGGGGUCUGCGUACCAUUAGCUAGUAGGUGGGGUAAUGGCCCACCUAGGCUACGAUGGUUAGCGGGUCUGAGAGGAUGAUCCGCCACACUGGCACUGGAACACGGGCCAGACUCCUACGGGAGGCAGCAGUGAGGAAUAUUGCGCAAUGGGGGCAACCCUGACGCAGCGACGCCGCGUGAGUGAGGAAGGCCUUCGGGUCGUAAAGCUCUGUCAAAGGGAAAGAAAUGUAUAAUGGCUAAUACCUGUUAUAUUUGACGGUACCCUUAAAGGAAGCACCGGCUAACUCCGUGCCAGCAGCCGCGGUAAUACGGAGGGUGCAAGCGUUGUUCGGAAUCACUGGGCGUAAAGGGCGCGCAGGCGGUUUGGUAAGUCAGGUGUGAAAGCCCACGGCUUAACCAUGGAAGUGCAUUUGAAACUGCCAGACUUGAGUACCAGAGGGGAAAGUGGAAUUCCCGGUGUAGAGGUGAAAUUCGUAGAUAUCGGGAGGAAUACCGGUGGCGAAGGC